rnacentral:rRNA from 1 species
GGAGGAAAAGAAACCAACAGGGAUUGCCUCAGUAACGGCGAGUGAAGCGGCAACAGCUCAAAUUUGAAAUCUGGUCCCCUCUGGGGGCCCGAGUUGUAAUUUGAAGAGGAUGCUUUUGGCGAGGCGCCGUCCGAGUUCCCUGGAACGGGACGCCGCAGAGGGUGAGAGCCCCGUACGGUCGGACGCCGAGCCUCUGUAAAGCUCCUUCGACGAGUCGAGUAGUUUGGGAAUGCUGCUCAAAAUGGGAGGUAAACCCCUUCUAAAGCUAAAUACCGGCCAGAGACCGAUAGCGCACAAGUAGAGUGAUCGAAAGAUGAAAAGCACUUUGAAAAGAGAGUUAAAAAGCACGUGAAAUUGUUAAAAGGGAAGCGCUUGCGACCAGACUUGCGCCCGUCGGAUCAACCGUCGCUUGCGGCGGCGCACUCCGGCGGGCUCAGGCCAGCAUCAGUUCGCCUGGGGGGAGAAAGGCGGCGGGAAUGUAGCUCCUCGGAGUGUUAUAGCCCGCCGUGUAAUACCCUCGGGUGGACUGAGGACCGCGCGUAUGCAAGGAUGCUGGCGUAAUGGUCGUCAGCGACCCGUCUUGAAACACGGACCAAGGAGUCGUCCUAAUAUGCGAGUGUACGGGUGUCAAACCCCUGCGCGUAAUGAAAGUGAACGGAGGUGAGAGCUUCGGCGCAUCAUCGACCGAUCCUGAUGUUAUCGGAUGGAUUUGAGUAAGAGCAUAUUGGGCCGGACCCGAAAGAAGGUGAACUAUGCCUGUGUAGGGUAAAGCCAGAGGAAACUCUGGUGGAGGCUCGCAGCGGUUCUGACGUGCAAAUCGAUCGUCAAACAUGGGCAUGGGGGCGAAAGACUAAUCGAAC